GACAAAUCGCAGAAAAAAAAAACAAAAAAUUGGCAGCUGUGACGUUUUACUUACUGACAUUGACAUUUGGCACUAAAAUUUAAUAAAGUUUUCGGUUUUUUCGAUCAACUCCCAAGUUUUAUCAAACUUUUAUAAAACUUGGGAUUGUAUGUUCUGGAUUCUGUACCUCUUACCCUGUACUCUGCAAUAAGCUCUUACGACGACCCGGCUAGUUACAUCGGAUACUAAUUAUGUCCAUGACGAAGGAGAACAGACCGCCUAAAAGGCAACGAUCAGAAAACUGGUUGGAGGAAGAUAAGUGUUUGCUUUUCAGUAUUUGCUGAAAGAGUUGGUGAAAGAAAGAGUAAAUGCAAUCGAAAAUAAAAAUACAGACACUAACACGAAUAAACGGAAGGUUGCGGCUUGGGCUGAUUUACAAACAACGUUUAAUUCAAUGUGCGCUGGUAUGAACCGCUCCAUUACCCAGUUAAAAUCGCAAUGGAGCCUCAUAAAAAUCAGUGCGAAGAAAGACAAGACCAUUGCUAGGCAGGCUCAAAUUAAAACUGGCGGUGGUCCACCAUUAUCAGUGCCUGACGAUAGGGCUGAUGAUAUAGCAUCUUGGUUGCCCAAUGAAUUUGUAGUCGAUGUUAACA